UCGAGUUCGUUUAGACAUCAGACGCAAUCAAAGAGCCAACCAGUAACGACCAUUCGUUUCUUUUCUUUUGAGAAUCAAAAAUAAUUUUAAAUUAAGACUAAAUUCAUCCACAACUUAUAUGCUUACGUCCAUAGUUAAGCAUAAACAACGUUUAUAUUCCAUCUAGAAAUAAUAUUGGAAUAACGCGCAGUACAUUCCAAGUUAAGUACAGCUGGUACAGCUGCUACGCACUAGUAGUAAUUUCACAAUACAAAUCUGUCGAACAUUAUUAGCACGGUGUAAAGUGACUAAAACGGUGGUUUCCUUGAAACAACAAAGAAUAAUUAUCAUUCAUCGUGGUGCGCAUUCUGCCCAACUGUGUGUAACUGCUUUGUGUGAAGUGGAAAAACUUGAUCCUUGAAAUAAGUUAAUCCUACUAGAACCAACUGCGUUUGGGAAACCAAACAGCGUCGAUUCCAAGUGCUAUCGUCAAUUCGGUCAAUUCCGAUGUGGGUGUAGCAACGAAAACGAACAAGGCGUAAAACCGAAAGACUGAUAAACCAGACGGAGGAAAGGAAAAUCAUAGUUGCAGCAGUUCUAUACAGAUUGUUGGUGCAACUCGAUGAGAGAAAGAAACGGUGAGAGAUUUGCAACAACAUAAAAACAUACGUACGCAGUCGUAAAAUCAAAACAACAACAAAAUAACAGUUGAAUGUGUAUGCGUGUGUGCCGUGCCAUCAGUCCAGAUAUCCAAUAGAAGAAGAAAAAUAAGUUCUAAGGCUACUACUGUGAAGGCACUUCCGUGGGCGUCUUGGAACAAGAAACAGGGAUCCAUCCCCGGGCGAUAUUGGGUGCAGCGCACAGGGCACACAGGAAGUGGAGGUUUUGCGAGGAUUCGAGCGAGUGUUCUGGGAUUCGAGAAGGUAUAUAGUAGAGCAGAUUCGCGAAUCAAGGGAGGUGCCCUUGACUGAAAGAAAAGUGGAUUAGCGGAGAAAAUCAGAACGCCAUUGUUGUUUUCUUGGCUUUUCUGGAAAAUUUGUGCUCGUCGAAAGUU